UAAGUUAUAAUCAUUAGUCUCUUUUUAAAAUAAUUUAUUUUUCAGAUUCCGCUUCUGUUUCUUUCCCCGUUUCUUCUGUUUGCCUGGUAUGUGAGUGAAAGGGACAUACCCUCGCUCCUUCAUUUGGGAGAGGGUUUUGCACUUACUGAGCGCCUAACAUACUCUGACCACAUAGGUGAGUGACCUUCUGGUAGAAACAGCAAGACCAACACCGGAAGCACUUCAAGAGGAGGAACUACAGUGUGUCACCGUGACUGUAAGUCCCUUGAGUGACACCCUCCUCUGAAGUGACUGGUAAGAGACACAGUACUCGUUAUUGAAGAGUUACGGCUGAAGAAACAGGACCCAGUGAAGCUCUAGUAAUAAUAGCGGUAAUAUGACAGGGAGGAAAUUUUAAGUGCCUAUUACUUGCCAGUGUGCCUGCAUGCUCAGUCAUUCAGUUGUGUCCAGCUCUUUGUGACCCUAUGGAUUGUAGCUCUCCAGGCUCCUCUGUCCAUGGGAUUCUCCAGAUAAGAAAACUGGAGUGGGUUGCCAUUCCCUCCUCCAGGAGAUCUUCCCAACCCAAAGAUUGAACCUGCAUCUCCUGCAUUGGCAGGCAGGUGGAUUCUUUACCACUGAGCCAUCUGCAAAGCCCAUUAGGUGCCAGACCCUAUCCUAAGCAGUUUCCACAUAUUCUUUCAUUCAGGCUUUUGAACAAUCAGUUGUUAAGUCAUCUUAUUAUACCCAUGCACUUCCUCAUGAGAAAAACCAACUCUGUUAUUAGAGUUAGGUCCUUUUCUGAUUUUAGGGGUGGAAAAAAGCCACCCAUAAAAGAACAUUUUGGGAAACCAUUGGAGGAUUUCAGAAACGACCAUAGAUGCAGAACUGAAUCUAUAGCUAUAAAAGCAAGAUCCUGUGAAAAAUAUUGACAAGAUUACAUAAAGCACUUCUAUAGAGUGCUUUUCCAGAUCCAAAAGGGAGGUGCGACUUCAGUGAGAAGUCUUGAUGAUGAUUCUUCUUGUUUUAUACAAACUUUUUCUUCCAACUGAGAUUGGCUCAAGUCCUCCAUUUUUCACUGAAUUGUCAAAGAACCUUUCCAGUAAUUUUUCUGAGACUUCUGCCUCUGUUACUUUGUUUUCAGCCUAUUUUUCUUCACAGAACCAACUGAGAAAUUUUUCCAAACCUUAUCCUGAAUGUGAUCCUGCUCUUUCAGAGAGAUGCACUGCUUACAGGGAAAAGAGUCUGGCAGCCAGAAGAAGGUCGCGGGGCUGUGCGAGACAGGCCAAUGCCUCCAGCGGCAGUGGAGUCGACACAAACCUGACAGCUCAACCUCACUCUCACUUCUGCACGUACAGGAAGAAGACCUUUGGGAAAGGCACUGUAAUCUGGCACCCGGCUCAGGUCUGGUACUUACUGAACCACAUUUAG
rnacentral:lncRNA from 1 species